GACUUCUCCGGUGGCCUUAGUGGUUGGAGCGUCCGCCUCAGAUUCGGGAGGUCGUGGGUUCAAACGUCGACCGAGUCA